rnacentral:rRNA from 1 species
UACGAAGGGGGCUAGGCGUUGCUCGGAAUUACUGGGCGUAAAGCGCACGUAGGCGGUUUCUUAAGUCGGGGGUGGAAAUCCUGGAGCUCAACUCCAGAACUGCCUUCGAUACUGAGAGACUUGAGUUCCGGGAGAGGUGAGUGGAACUGCGAGUGUAGAGGUGAAAUUCGUAGAUAUUCGCAAGAACACCAGUGGCGAAGGCGGCUCACUGGCCCGGUACUGACGCUGAGGUGCGAAAGCGUGGGGAGCAAACAGG